UCCUAUGGUAUGAGCGCCCUUCAAAGGCAU
rnacentral:piRNA from 1 species